GGGUGAGUAACGCGUAAGGAACUUGCCUCUUGGACUGGGACAACUGUUGGAAACGACAGCUAAUACCGGAUAUUAUGAGAUUCUCGCAUGAGAAAUUUAUGAAAGCUAUAUGCGCCAAGAGAGAGCCUUGCGUUCCAUUAGCUAGUUGGUGGGGUAACGGCCCACCAAGGCGACGAUGGAUAGCCGGCCUGAGAGGGUGAACGGCCACAAGGGGACUGAGACACGGCCCUUACUCCUACGGGAGGCAGCAGUGGGGAAUAUUGGACAAUGGGCCACAAGCCUGAUCCAGCAAUUCUGUGUGCACGAUGAAGGUCUUCGGAUUGUAAAGUGCUUUCAGUUGGGAAGAAGAAAGUGACGGUACCAACAGAAGAAGCGACGGCUAAAUACGUGCCAGCAGCCGCGGUAAUACGUAUGUCGCAAGCGUUAUCCGGAUUUAUUGGGCGUAAAGCGCGUCUAGGCGGAAAAAUAAGUCUGAUGUUAAAAUGCGGGGCUCAACUCCGUAUUGCGUUGGAAACUGUUUUUCUAGAGUACUGGAGAGGUGGGCGGAACUACAAGUGUAGAGGUGAAAUUCGUAGAUAUUUGUAGGAAUGCCGAUGGAGAAGUCAGCUCACUGGACAGAUACUGACGCUGAAGCGCGAAAGCGUGGGGAGCAAACAGGAUUAGAUACCCUGGUA
rnacentral:rRNA from 1 species